CACAUUCUGAAAGGGUAAAAUAAGGUCAAAUACAAAUUUAAACAAAAAUAUGGUGUAUUUUGUGACAGCAAGUGAAUCAGUUUAAAAAAUGCAGCCAUAGUGAAUAAUCACAGUAUUCAGACGUGAAUAUCGAUCAACAUAGUAAUCAGACUGGGGCGAUAAACCUAUCAUCAUGUAUAAGAUUAAAAUAAGAAUGAAAAAUAA